GACGAACGCUGGCGGCGUGCUUAACACAUGCAAGUCGAACGGAAAGGCCCUGCUUUUGUGGGGUGCUCGAGUGGCGAACGGGUGAGUAACACGUGAGUAACCUCCCCUUGACUUUGGGAUAACUUCAGGAAACUGGGGCUAAUACCGGAUAGGAGCUCCUGCUGCAUGGUGGGGGUUGGAAAGUUUCGGCGGUUGGGGAUGGACUCGCGGCUUAUCAGCUUGUUGGUGGGGUAGUGGCUUACCAAGGCUUUGACGGGUAGCCGGCCUGAGAGGGUGACCGGCCACAUUGGGACUGAGAUACGGCCCAGACUCCUACGGGAGGCAGCAGUGGGGAAUAUUGCACAAUGGGCGGAAGCCUGAUGCAGCAACGCCGCGUGCGGGAUGACGGCCUUCGGGUUGUAAACCGCUUUCGCCUGUGACGAAGCGUGAGUGACGGUAAUGGGUAAAGAAGCACCGGCUAACUACGU
rnacentral:rRNA from 1 species